rnacentral:misc_RNA from 1 species
AACAAAGUGAACUAUGUUAAGGGCUAUGGUAAAUUCCUCUCCCCUUCCGAAGUUUCUGUUGACACCGUGGAAGGUGGUAAUACUAUUGUUAAGGGGAAGAAUAUCAUAAUUGCGACUGGUUCUGAUGUCAAAAGUCUACCUGGGUUAACCAUUGAUGAAAAGAGAAUUGUAUCAUCUACUGGAGCUUUAGCUUUAACUGAAAUCCCUAAAAAACUGGUUGUUAUUGGUGCUGGCUACAUAGGCCUCGAAAUGGGAUCUGUCUGGGGCCGCCUUGGCUCAGAGGUGACUGUUGUUGAAUUUGCAUCUGAUAUUGUUCCAACCAUGGAUGGUGAAGUUCGCAAGCAAUUCCAACGUUCUCUUGAGAAGCAAAAGAUGAAGUUCAUGCUUAAAACUAAGGUGGUGUCAGUUGACACUGUUGGCGAUAGUGUGAAGUUGACCCUUGAACCUGCCGCGGGUGGUGAGCAGACUACUCUUGAGGCUGAUGUUGUUCUUGUUUCUGCUGGUAGGGUUCCCUUCACUUCAGGACUUGGACUGGACAAGAUAGGUGUUGAAACUGACAAGGCUGGUAGGAUCUUGGUCAAUGAACGUUUUGCCAGUAAUGUCCCAGGGGUAUAUGCAAUUGGUGAUGUCAUUCCGGGGCCAAUGCUUGCUCACAAGGCAGAGGAGGAUGGUGUUGCUUGUGUGGAAUUUAUUGCAGGCAAGGAAGGUCAUGUGGACUACGAUUUGGUUCCUGGUGUUUGCUACACUCACCCAGAGGUGGCUUCCGUUGGGAAAACUGAAGAACAGGUUAAGGCCCUUGGAGUUGAUUAUCGCGUAGGCAAAUUUCCAUUCCUUGCAAACAGUAGGGCCAAGGCAAUUGACGAUGCUGAAGGUAUUGUAAAGGUAAUUGCUGAGAAGGGAACCGACAAAAUCUUGGGCGUCCAUAUUAUGUCAUCCAAUGCAGGUGAGCUUAUUCACGAAGCAGUCCUGGCUUUGAAUUAUGGAGCAUCGAGUGAAGACAUUGCUCGUACAUGCCACGCACAUCCUACAAUGAGCGAGGCUCUGAAAGAAGCUGCCAUGGCCACUUAUGACAAGCCCAUUCACAUGUAGAGGUAGCGUCAGUCAUAUCAUUGUUUUUUAUUUUCCUUCGAGUAUCUCAAAUACUUGAAGCAGAUUUUCUAAUUGCCAUAUCAAGUAUAUCUGGAACACAAGUUUCUUCCCCCUCUCCUCUCUUAAUUGGGUACACUCAAAACCACCUCAAAGUUCAUGUUUCUCUUCUGCAUAUUCAUUACUGUAAUAAAGAUACAAGUUGCAUGUCGAGUUUAAAUGCCAUCAAUGGUGAG